rnacentral:rRNA from 1 species
UAAAAUCAAUCCGUACUUAAUUUACACAUGCAAGUCUCAGCACCCCCGUGAGAACGCCCUAAACCCCCUGCUCGGGACAAGGAGCUGGUAUCAGGCACAUUAUUCAACCCAUGACACCUAGCUAUGCCACAUCCUCAAGGAAUUUCAGCAGUGAUCAAUAUUGAAAAUACGCGUCAGCAAGAUUCAGUUAAAGUACAGAGAGCCGGCAAAAUUGGUGCCAGCCGCCGCGGUUAUACCAAUAGACUCAAAUUGAUCAUAUCGGCGUAAAGCGUGAUUAAAGUUUUCCCCCCCCCAUUAAAAAUAGAACCCUCACUAAGCUGUGACACGCUUGUGCUUGAGAAAAUCAAAAACGUAAGUUAUUUUAAUU